GAUGAACGCUGGCGGCGUGCCUAAUACAUGCAAGUCGAGCGAACAGAUGAGGAGCUUGCUCCUCUGACGUUAGCGGCGGACGGGUGAGUAACACGUGGAUAACCUACCUAUAAGACUGGGAUAACUUCGGGAAACCGGAGCUAAUACCGGAUAAUAUAUUGAACCGCAUGGUUCAAUAGUGAAAGACGGUUUUGCUGUCACUUAUAGAUGGAUCCGCGCCGCAUUAGCUAGUUGGUAAGGUAACGGCUUACCAAGGCAACGAUGCGUAGCCGACCUGAGAGGGGGUAGCGCCACUGUGAAAAUGACCCACGACCCAGGAACAGAGGGGAGGCACCAACUGGGAAGCUUCCGAAAGGGGGGAAAGCUUGAAGAAUGCACGCAAGCCUGAUGAAGAAGGUCCGCGUGUGGGAAAACGCUUUUUUUGGGGAAAACAAAAUGCGCAAGUAACUAAGCCUGUGUGACGGGAACCAAUAAAGAAGCCCCGGCUAACUAACUG
rnacentral:rRNA from 1 species